rnacentral:rRNA from 1 species
GACGAACGCUGGCGGCGUGCUUAACACAUGCAAGUCGAACGGAGCGAAUGAAAGCUUGCUUUUAUAAGCUUAGUGGCAAACGGGUGAGUAACACGUAGACAACCUGCCGACAGGAUGGGGACAACAUUCCGAAAGGAAUGCUAAUACCGAAUGAAGUGCAGGAGAGGCAUCUCCCCUGCAUGAAAGAUGGCCUCUUUUUAUGCUAUCACCUGUUGAUGGGUCUGCGUCUGAUUAGCUGGUAGGUGAGGUAACGGCUCACCUAGGCGACGAUCAGUAGCCGGUCUGAGAGGAUGAACGGCCACAUUGGGACUGAGACACGGCCCAGACUCCUACGGGAGGCAGCAGUGGGGAAUCUUCCGCAAUGGGCGCAAGCCUGACGGAGCAACGCCGCGUGAGUGAAGAAGGUCUUCGGAUCGUAAAGCUCUGUUGAUGGGGACGAACGUGCCUAAUGCGAAUAGUAUUAGGUAAUGACGGUACCCAUCGAGGAAGCCACGGCUACUCGC